AACGAACGCUGGCGGCAUGCCUAACACAUGCAAGUCGAACGAGACCUUCGGGUCUAGUGGCGCACGGGUGCGUAACGCGUGGGAACCUGCCCUUAGGUUCGGAAUAACUCCCCGAAAGGGGUGCUAAUACCGGAUAAUGUCUUCGGACCAAAGAUUUAUCGACUUUGGUUGGGCCCGCGUUGGUUUAGCUAGUUGGUAGGGUAAAAGCCUACCAAGGCUACGAUCCAUAGCUGGUCUGAGAGGAUGAUCCGCCACACUGGGACUGGGCAACGGCCCAGAAUACUACGGGAUGCAGAAGUGGGGAAUAUUGGACUAUGGGAUAAAGCCUGAUCCAGCAAUGCCGCGUGAGUCAUGUAGGCCUUAGGGUAGUAAAGCUCUUUUACACGGGAUGAUAAUGACAGUACCGGGAGAAUAAGCUCCGGCUAACUCCGUG
rnacentral:rRNA from 1 species